rnacentral:rRNA from 1 species
GACGAACGCUGGCGGCGUGCUUAACACAUGCAAGUCGUACGGUAAGGCCCUUUCGGGGGUACACGAGUGGCGAACGGGUGAGUAACACGUGAGUAACCUGCCCACAACUUUGGGAUAACGCUAGGAAACUGGUGCUAAUACUGGAUAUGUGCUCCUGCUGCAUGGUGGGGGUUGGAAAGCUCCGGCGGUUGUGGAUGGACUCGCGGCCUAUCAGCUUGUUGGUGGGGUAGUGGCCUACCAAGGCGGCGACGGGUAGCCGGCCUGAGAGGGUGACCGGCCACAUUGGGACUGAGAUACGGGCCAGACUCCUACGGGAGGCAGCAGUGGGGAAUAUUGCACAAUGGGCGCAAGCCUGAUGCAGCAACGCCGCGUGCGGGAUGACGGCCUUCGGGUUGUAAACCGCUUUCAGCAGGGACGAAGCUUUUUGUGACGGUACCUGCAGAAGAAGCACCGGCUAACUACGUG